ensembl:snoRNA small nucleolar RNA SNORA5
ACUCAUAUUGCCAAAUUUAGAACACACUCUAAGAUAAUGUGUUCUAGAUUUAGCACAGAACUUGAAACUGUUGGGGCUCAGUUUCCGUUAAGAUCUGGGAAAACUUGAGUUCUGGACUGCU